UGGGGGAUAUUGCACAAUGGGCGAAAGCCUGAUGCAGCGACGCCGCGUGGGGGAUGAAGGCCUUCGGGUUGUAAACUUCUUUUGCUCUGAACAAGGCAUGCUAAUGGGUGUGUUGAGUGUAGGGGUUGAUUAGCGCCGGCUAACUACGUGCCAGCAGCCGCGGUAAUACGUAGGGCGCGAGCGUUGUCCGGAAUUAUUGGGCGUAAAGGGCUUGUAGGUGGCUGGUUGCGUCUGUCGUGAAAGCUCAUGGCUUAACUGUGGGUUUGCGGUGGGUACGGGCUGGCUUGAGUGCAGUAGGGGAGGCUGGAAUUCCUGGUGUAGCGGUGGAGUGCGCAGAUAUCAGGAGGAAUACCGGUGGCGAAGGCGGGUCUCUGGGCUGUUACUGACACUGAGGAGCGAAAGCAUGGGGAGCGAACAGG
rnacentral:rRNA from 1 species